rnacentral:rRNA from 1 species
AAUCAACGCUGGCGGCGUGCCUAACACAUGCAAGUCGAACGAGAAAGUGUAGCAAUACAUGAGUAAAGUGGCGACCGGGUGAGUAACACGUGACUAACCUACCCUCUUGUGGGGAAUAACCUUCCGAAAGGAGGGCUAAUACCGCAUAACAUCGCGAGGUGAGAUUCCUUGUGAUCAAAGGAGUAAUCCGCAGGAGGAGGGGGUCGCGGCUGAUUAGCUAGUUGGUGGGGUAAUGGCCCACCAAGGCGAUGAUCAGUAUCCGGCCUGAGAGGGCGCACGGACACACUGGAACUGAAACACGGUCCAGACUCCUACGGGAGGCAGCAGUGGGGAAUUUUGCGCAAUGGGGGAAACCCUGACGCAGCAACGCCGCGUGGAGGAUGAAGGUCUUUGGAUUGUAAACUCCUUUCGAUCGGGACGAUGAUGACGGUACCGGAAGAAGAAGCACCGGCUAACUCUGUGCCAGCCGCCGCAGUAACAC